rnacentral:rRNA from 2 species
AAACUCAAAGGAAUUGACGGGGGCCCGCACAAGCAGCGGAGCAUGUGGCUUAAUUCGACGCAACGCGAAGAACCUUACCAAGGCUUGACAUACACCGGAAAGCAUCAGAGAUGGUGCCCCCCUUGUGGUCGGUGUACAGGUGGUGCAUGGCUGUCGUCAGCUCGUGUCGUGAGAUGUUGGGUUAAGUCCCGCAACGAGCGCAACCCUUGUCCUGUGUUGCCAGCAUGCCCUUCGGGGUGAUGGGGACUCACAGGAGACCGCCGGGGUCAACUCGGAGGAAGGUGGGGACGACGUCAAGUCAUCAUGCCCCUUAUGUCUUGGGCUGCACACGUGCUACAAUGGCAGGUACAAUGAGCUGCGAUACCGUGAGGUGGAGCGAAUCUCAAAAAGCCUGUCUCAGUUCGGAUUGGGGUCUGCAACUCGACCCCAUGAAGUCGGAGUUGCUAGUAAUCGCAGAUCAGCAUUGCUGCGGUGAAUACGUUCCCGGGCCUUGUACACACCGCCCGUCACGUCACGAAAGUCGGUAACACCCGAAGCCGGUGGCCCAACCCCCUUGUGGGGAGGGAGCUGUCGAAGGUGGGACUGGCGAUUGGGACGAAGUCG